UACAGAGGUGGCAAGCGUUGUUCGGAAUUCCUGGGCGUAAAGGGCGCGUAGGCGGCCUUCUAAGUCAGACGUGAAAUCCCCCGGCUUAACCUGGGAACUGCGUCUGAUACUGGGAGGCUUGAGUAUGGGAGAGGGAUGUAGAAUUCCAGGUGUAGCGGUGAAAUGCGUAGAUAUCUGGAGGAAUACCGGUGGCGAAGGCGGCAUCCUGGACCAUAACUGACGCUGAGGCGCGAAAGCUAGGGGAGCAAACGGG
rnacentral:rRNA from 1 species